rnacentral:rRNA from 1 species
CGAGCACGCGCGUGUGGCAUAUCAAUAACGGAGGAAAAGAAACUAACAAGGAUUCCCUUAGUAACGGCGAGUGAAGCGGGAAGAGCUCAAAUUUGAAAUCUUCAAGGUUCUACCUUGACGAAUUGUAGUUUAUAGAAGUGUUUUCUGUUAGUGGAGUGGCAAAAGUUCUUUGGAAUAGGACAUCAUAGAGGGUGGGAAUCCCGUAUUUGGUCAUUCCUCCUAGCGUUGUGAUACACUUUCAACGAGUCGGAUUGUUUGGGAAUGCAGUCCAAAAUGGGUGGUAAAUUUCAUCUAAAGCUAAAUAUUGGCGAGAGACCGAUAGCGAACAAGUACCGUGAGGGAAAGAUGAAAAGAACUUUGAAAAGAGAGUUAAACAGUACGUGAAAUUGUCAAAAGGGAAGCGUUUGACACCAGUGUUGUUUUUCCGAAAAUCAAUUACGAAUGUUUUGUUUUUGAGGAGUUAUGACUUCAUCGGCUUGCUCCUUUCUUUACGAAACUUUCUUAAUGCACUUUUCGGUUAACAAGUCAACAUCAAUUUCUUUUGUUGUAAAAGGGUAUGAGGAAGGUGGCUUUCUUUUCGGAGAAAGUGUUUAUAGCCUUGUGCCUCUACAAUCGGAGAGAUUGAGGUCUGCAGCGUAGAUCCUUCGGGGUUAGAUACGUUUGUGCUAAGUUAUAGCUUUUCAUAGACAACUUGUUGACUAUGUUUAGUCUUGUAGCUUACUCGCUUACGCUAUUUUACCUACGCUUAGGAUGUUGAUGUGAUACUGCGAGCA